rnacentral:lncRNA from 1 species
AAUUGCAGUUUUAAGUGAUUUUUCAAGAAGUAAUAGUUUCUAUUCAAAUUUUUGGUGCUUUGGUGUAGAGGUGGGGUGGGGAAGGGUUAAAUGGUUUUGGGAAUAACUCAGUGCACACCUGUAGGCCUCUUCAUAUUGUGACCAGCAGUGGUCAUUGCGGUUAUAGCAUACCAGUUGGGGGCUAUAAAAUGCAGUCUCCGUUUCUGGAUCUUGUCUAAUCUUUAUCCAUUAGAAUUUGUCUCAGGAUUGCUUGGUUUUUGUCAUAUACUCAAGUGAGAACUUGCUUUUCUUGGCUAAUGAAGCUCAGUACUGGGUGAGUGCCCACAUAGGUCGUGUAUGAGGAGUGGGCUCUUUCUCAUACUCUGUCCCUCUCUCUCUCUAGUUGAACGUAAGCAUACGUUUUAAUGUUGUUUCAUUGACUGUAUAAUGUAAAAUUGUUUCUUUUAAAUUAGAUACUUGGCAUUGAUUACUUAUUCCUUCAGUGCUUGAGUAGAUUUUUUAAAGCAGAAUUUGUUAAAAGGGUCGUUUUUGUCUAUUCCUUUUUCACUUUUCUCAGAUUCUCAGAGUGGCUCAUCUCACCUUUUAGAAGAAUAUCUCAAUCUCUUAUUAUAUUCCAGCUAUUAAAUUAAACAGGAAAGUUUUAACAAAAACAAUUUUGCAAAAAUAUUCGGAGAAUACAAAAGACAUUCUGGAUUGUUCAAAAGCAAAAUUCCCUCAACACUGAGCAGCAAUUAGUCGGUAGAAAAUGAAGGACACUAAAUUGAGACCUUUCGAAUGGAUCAGUUUUAGUAUUGGCUGAUCGGUAUAAUCAUUUAUCUAGUUUUUUUUUUUCACUUAUGAAAUAUAUUUUUACCAAAACACUGAGUAAGAGGGAAGGGAGAAAAACCAAUUUCUUUAAGAAAUCACUCCAAGUUUGCU